rnacentral:rRNA from 1 species
AUUGAACGCUGGCGGCAGGCCUAACACAUGCAAGUCGAACGGUAACAGGAAGAAGCUUGCUUCUUUGCUGACGAGUGGCGGACGGGUGAGUAAUGUCUGGGAAACUGUCUGAUGGAGGGGGAUAACUACUGGAAACGGUAGCUCUUACCGCAUAACGUCGCUAGGCCAAAGAGGGGGACCUUCGGGCCUCUUGCCCUCUUGAGUGCCCAGAUGGGAUGAGCUAGUGGGGGGGGUAACGACUCACCUAGGCGACGAUCCCUAUCUGGUCUGAGAGAUUGACCAGCCACACUGGAACUGAGACAGGGCCCAGACCCCUACGGGAGGCAGCAGUGGGGAAUAUUGCACAAUGGGGGCAAGCCGGAUGCAGCAAUGCCGGUUGUAUGAAGAAGGCCUUCGGGUGGUAAAGUACUUUCAGCGGAGAGAAAGGGAGUAAAGUUAAUACCUUUACUCAUUGACGUUACCUGAAGAAGAAGAACCGGCUAACUCCGU